ensembl:lncRNA
GGCGGGCAGGCCGCUGGGGAAAGAGACUCUGAGGGGAAGAGAGUAUCUAUUACACCAGCCCCUACGGAGACCCAGGCUCUGGGGAUGUGGAUUCCAUAUUGCUGGGCCCUUCCCCUCACCUGCCAGAUGCUUCAUACCAAAAACAUUCCAGAAAGUAGACUCAGAGAGAUGACUCUGAGCCCCAGGGGGGAAGUCUGGGGCCCUAGGAAUAUUUAGUGCCACAUCAGCGCUUCCGGAAUGUGAAUAACCCAGACAACCACCGGGGGGCAACUCUGGGAGACAGGAAAGGGCCUUCAGAAACCAGACCAGAAAGUCUUGGUCAGAAUUCUCUCCACGCCCUCAGCCCUUCCCUGGGGCAAGUCCAUCCAGGCUGUCCCUGGGUGGAAACCCCCUCGCUGGGGAGCAUGGAAGCUCCACUUCAUGCAGUGGGGAGACCCCCCCAACCCCGGCACAUCAGGAGGAGCCGUCCGAUCCCCCAGGGACCCCAUUCAGUUGGGCUGCCUCGGACCCUUCUGGUGGGCUGGUGGGAAGGGGAAAUGGCAAUUCAGAUGGGUGGGGAACAGCAGUCCUCUCAUGAAAUAGUGCCCACACUCCACCAGAGCUUCUGCUCAGUUCUGCCAGUCAGAACCUGGAGACUCACUGAGAGCCAGAGCGUGACUGAGCUGGGAAGGACCAGGACAAAGGGUUAGCUGAGCAGCCUCAGCAUUUAUAAGAGACUGGGGCUGGGGCAGGAAGCUAGGGAGCACUUAGAUCUCCAGUGGAGAUGAAGGGUAUCAGGAGUCUGGAAUUUCGGAAAGACAUGUGAGUUGGAGAUAAAGACAGGAGUUGUUAGGAAAGAAUUUCUGCUUUGGGUGGAAAGUCAGCUUAGUUGAUCUCUGAAGUCCCUGAGUUCUAAAGAUUCCUGGAUUUCAUUGACUAGGAAGGACUUCCCAGGUGGCGCUAGUGGUAAAGAACCAGCCUGCCAAUGCAGGAGAUGUGAAAGACACGGGCUCCAUCCCUGGGUCGGGAAGAUUCCCUGGAGAAGGGCAUGGAAACCAACUCCAGUAUUCUUGCCUGGAAAAUCCCCAUGGACAAAGAAGCCUGGUGGCCUGUAGUCUGUGGGGUCGUGCAGGAACAGACGCAACUAAAGCAACUUAGCAUGCACACACGCAUUAGGAAAGCAGUUAUUCUGUGGCUGAUCAGUUUGUGAAAGCUCAACAGUGGAGGAGAUGGUUAUUGCUGAGUCAGGAAGGCAGUUUUGCCCGUAUGCAACUGACUUUCUCCUCCUAAGGAAAACACAGGCUUCUUCCAGGGAUGGAAGGAGAAGACUGCGGAGGAUCGUCCUUUGUCUUCCUGUACAAGAGGGCUGUGCUAAGACCUCAAAACCAUGCAGCCGUGAAACUUCAUGACCGCACACCUUCUAAGGUUUUAGAGAUUUUAUAAGCACAUUGGAAACGUCACUCUUGGGCCAGGGUUCUGCCUCUGACAUUGGCAAAGGGGAGGGGAGUUGCCUUGUACAACCCAGGCCCCAGAGAACAAGCCAGCUCCCGGAUUCCCAGUUCUCUUCCGCUGUUUCAGAACUUCCUGCUUCAGAUC